GGAUAACCUACCCUUGAGAUGGGGAUAAACCCGGGAAACUGGGUAUAAUACCCAAUAGAUCUCGACUGCUGGAAUGCAUCGAGAUCCAAAGCUUUGGCGCUCAAGGAUGGAUCUGCGGCCUAUCAGGUAGUAGUGGGUGUAGCGUACCUACUAGCCUACGACGGGUACGGGUUGUGAGAGCAAGAGCCCGGAGAUGGAUUCUGAGACACGAAUCCAGGCCCUACGGGGUGCAGCAGGCGCGAAAACUUUACAAUGCUGGAAACAGCGAUAAGGGGACCUCGAGUGCCAGGUUACAAAUCUGGCUGUCGUGAUGCCUAAAAAGCAUUGCAUAGCAAGGGCCGGGCAAGACCGGUGCCAGCCGCCGCGGUAACACCGGCGGCUCGAGUGGUAACCGUUAUUAUUGGGUCUAAAGGGUCUGUAGCCGGCCGGAUAAGUCUCUUGGGAAAUCUGGCAGCUUAACUGUCAGGCUUUCAGGAGAUACUGUCUGGCUCGAGGCCGGGAGAGGUGAGAGGUACUUCAGGGGUAGGGGUGAAAUCUUGUAAUCCUUGAAGGACCACCAGUGGCGAAGGCGUCUCACCAGAACGGACCUGACGGCAAGGGACGAAAGCUAGGGGCACGAACCGGAUUAGAUACCCGGGUAGUCCUAGCCGUAAACGAUACUCGCUAGGUGUCGGCAACGGUGCGACCGCUGUCGGUGCCGUAGGGAAGCCGUGAAGCGAGCCACCUGGGAAGUACGGCCGCAAGGCUGAAACU
rnacentral:rRNA from 1 species